GACGAACGCUGGCGGCGUGCUUAACACAUGCAAGUCGAACGGAAAGGCCCUGCUUUUGUGGGGUGCUCGAGUGGCGAACGGGUGAGUAACACGUGAGUAACCUGCCCUUGACUUUGGGAUAACUUCAGGAAACUGGGGCUAAUACCGGAUAGGAGCUCCUGCUGCAUGGUGGGGGUUGGAAAGUUUCGGCGGUUGGGGAUGGACUCGCGGCUUAUCAGCUUGUUGGUGGGGUAGUGGCUGACCAAGGCUUUGACGGGUAGCCGGCAUGAGAGGGUGACCGGCGACAUUGGGACUGAGAGACGGCCCAGACUGCUACGGGAGGCAGCAGGGGGGAAUAUGGCACAAUGGGCGGAAGCCAGAGGCAGAAACGCCGGGUGCGGGAUGACGGCUUACGGGGGGUAAACCGCUUUCGACGGUGACGAAGCGUGAGUGACGGUAAUGGGUAAAGAAGCACCGGCUAACUACGUG
rnacentral:rRNA from 1 species